AGUGAACGCUGGCGGUAGGCCUAACACAUGCAAGUCGAACGGCAGCACAGUAAGAGCUUGCUCUUACGGGUGGCGAGUGGCGGACGGGUGAGGAAUACAUCGGAAUCUACUUUUUCGUGGGGGAUAACGUAGGGAAACUUACGCUAAUACCGCAUACGACCUACGGGUGAAAGCAGGGGAUCUUCGGACCUUGCGCGAUUGAAUGAGCCGAUGUCGGAUUAGCUAGUUGGCGGGGUAAAGGCCCACCAAGGCGACGAUCCGUAGCUGGCCUGAGAGGAUGAUCAGCCACACUGGAACUGAGACACGGUCCGGACUCCUACGGGAGGCAGCAGUGGGGAAUAUUGGACAAUGGGCGCAAGCCUGAUCCAGCCAUACCGCGUGGGUGAAGAAGGCCUUCGGGUUGUAAAGCCCUUUUGUUGGGAAAGAAAAGCAGCAGGUUAAUACCCCGCUGUUCUGACGGUACCCAAAGAAUAAGCACCGGCUAACUUCGUG
rnacentral:rRNA from 1 species